GACAGAGGGUGCAAACGUUGUUCGGAAUUACUGGGCGUAAAGCGCGUGUAGGCUGUUCGGAAAGUCGGGUGUGAAAGCCCUGGGCUCAACCUAGGAAGUGCACUCGAAACUCCCGAACUGGAGUCCCGGAGAGGAAGGCGGAAUUCUCGGUGUAGAGGUGAAAUUCGUAGAUAUCGAGAGGAACAUCGGUGGCGAAGGCGGCCUUCUGGACGGUGACUGACGCUGAGACGCGAAAGCGUGGGGAGCAAACAGG
rnacentral:rRNA from 1 species